CAUGUCGGUAACGGAGGGAAUGAAAUAUGCAGCACUUUUUGGGCAAUAAAUCCAAACAGUGAUAACUCUUGGUUCUCACUUACAUAUCCUUAACAAACUGGUUUGAAUAUUUGCUUCAUAUAGUUUUCUACCAUAUGGUACAAGAUUAGGUUGAAAAACCUCUGACUUUUCCCUCCGUUACCAUGACCUUUCUUAAUAAAAAAUCUCAUUACUCAAAAAGUAACGGAGGGAAAAUUGUGCAAACAAGUAGAAGGUGCAGGAUUUUGCAUAAUUUGUCGCUUUUUUCUUCCGAAUACUUUAAUAUUUCUUCCAAAUGAAAGGAAACUAUUUCUAUAAAAUAUGUCAGUCCUUCCAAGCAAAUUUUUAUCAUUUUAAAUUUUUUUUUUUUUUAAAUCAUGUACCUUCAUCAACAGUUCAAAGAUGGAAUAACACAAGAUAUGAUGAAAUACAUCCAUUUAUUUACAUGAUUUUCAGGUCUUUGAAAUUUGGGAAAUAAUUUUUGUUCCAUGUUUCAUACAUGGUCUGUUUAAAACGUAUGGAACUUUAGAACCAAAAAUGGUACAGAAAAAAGGUCAACAGUUUGAUAAACUAGAGUACAUAUGUAUCUGUUCAAUACAUUUUUAUAUCAGAUGCAUUAACUUGAAUUUUUGGCCUUGCUGUUCCAAUCCAGAUCCAAUUUUUUCAAAUGUGACCCAGGACACUUGGAUAUGUGCUCCUGAAACCGAUACAUAUCUGAUCUUUUGACAUGUGACUUCAGUCUGAACGACCAAAGUGCAUUCAUCCACCUACACGUUAUCAACAAGACACAAACGUCACUAUUCUGCACUGAAGUAGGCGAAAAUUGUUAAUGAACUCCAUGUCACUGAAGUGAAGCACAUCUCCACUCACCACUCUUGGCUCCGUCUCCACAUCCACACGUUUCUUUCAACGGACUGAACCACAAAACACCACGACCAAAAACCUCGUCCUUCUCCUUCUCAAUCUCCUCCUUAAAACAAGUAAGUUGUUCAUGUUCUGGCUCCGGUACGAGAGGAACUUUAAAAUCUCCAGGUGCUCGAUGCUGCGUCCAUGUUUGGACAACUUCUGUAAACACAGAGACGCUCGCUGCGGUUGACGUCGUCGUGUCUCCAGUGUCACAUGUGGGACACUUUUAGGCCGUUUAAUGUUCACACUGGAGUCACAUACAAGUCACAUUUAACUGGAAAUGUGAACGACCUCGAAAAAACAUCAGAUUUCACAAAUAAAUCUGAAUUGAGCGUUAAGUCCUGCAGUCUGAACGUAGACUAAAUCUAGCUCAGUGAAACUGAACAGUUUAGGUGUUGAAGUUUAUUACGAGACUUUGUUUGCAGUUGGUGAAGUUUUUCAAAAUGUUGCCACCUUGUGCCUCCGCUCAAUUUCAUUUCUCUCCAGUGACUGGAUCAGGAAUCGGAAUACACUAGAUGAUUCACAAAAACCACGGAAGUGCGAGUUCGGGCACCAGCCAAUCAGGGAAGAGACAGACAUUCUGUGUUGGCGACGAUUCCCGAGAUCGAGGAUUUAAAGCCAGAAUAAAGAAAAUGUUUGGUGAAUUUUAUCAAGGGGAAAGACGUUAUUGUCCUUCUUCCUAUGGGAUUUGGAGCAUUACAUAUGUCACGACCAAACAGCAGCGAUUGGUUAAAUAAAAAAGUACUCGUCUACUGUCGAGCGAACGAAUCCUAACACUGUGAGGUCAGACGGUUUCCACGACGUGAAACCGUCUUAUGAAUCAGGCUUGCACAUUCUUGCAAAACGACUUUUCUUUGGGAGUAAACAUCAUGACUCAACCUGAAAGCCGAACAAAACUAAACCAUUAAAUCUAAAAUUCUGAUCUGUACAUUCUGUGAAAAUUUGAGGUUAUUUCAACAAGAAUUGCCAAAAUUAUCGGCCUGCAGUAUUUUUUGGGGGACGCCCUGUAUUUCUUUUUUGUUUAGAAACCUGUUAAAAAGCCUUAAAUUUGCAAAGUCGCUCCCUGUUUAGCUCCUUGCCAAAUCCGUGCCAUAGUUACCAUAGCAACCAGUCUAAAUAUCCAGGAAAUCCAGAUUACUGUCAUAACCGGAUCGAACCGUGACCUGGAUACUCGAGGUAAUUAUGAACGCACGCUCUGAUGUCUUUGUACAGUUUUUUUUUGUAUAAUUUCUGCGUGUUUUUCCUUCUCCGUGUCGAGUGUCAAACCAGCCGCACGUGUUCACCGCGCAAUAAAAUCAACCUUGUUUUUAAA